GACGAACGCUGGCGGCGUGCUUAACACAUGCAAGUCGAACGGUAAGGCCCUUCGGGGUACACGAGUGGCGAACGGGUGAGUAACACGUGGGUGAUCUGCCCUGCACUUCGGGAUAAGCCUGGGAAACUGGGUCUAAUACCGGAUAGGACCACUGCCUGCAUGGGUGGUGGUGGAAAGCUUUUGCGGUGUGGGAUGGGCCCGCGGCCUAUCAGCUUGUUGGUGGGGUGAUGGCCUACCAAGGCGACGACGGGUAGCCGGCCUGAGAGGGUGACCGGCCACACUGGGACUGAGAUACGGCCCAGACUCCUUCGGGAGGCAGCAGUGGGGAAUAUUGCACAAUGGGCGCAAGCCUGAUGCAGCGACGCCGCGUGAGGGGUGACGGCCUUCGGGUUGUAAACCUCUUUCAGCACCGACGAAGCGCAAGUGACGGUAGGUGCAGAAGAAGGACCGGCCAACUACGUGCCAGCAGCCGCCGUAA
rnacentral:rRNA from 1 species